rnacentral:rRNA from 1 species
GACGCUGGCGGUACUUUUAACCUGCAGUUAGCGGUACAGACAUAAAGAUUCAGCUUGCUGAAUCCGGUGCUGACGAGCGGCGAACGGGUGAGUAACGCGUAGGAAUCUACCCAGUAGCGGGGGAUAGCCCGAGGAAACUCGGAUUAAUACCGCAUACGCCCUGAGGGGGAAAGGGGGCAGUUUACUGCUCUCACUAUUGGAUGAGCCUGCGUAAGAUUAGCUUGUUGGUAGGGUAAUGGCCUACCAAGGCGACGAUCUUUAGCUGGUCUGACGAGGACGAUCAGCCACAUUGGGACUGAGACACGGCCCAGACAUCUACGGAUGGCAGCAGUUAAGAAUAUUGGACAAUGCGGGCAACCCUGAUCCAGGUAUACCGCGUGUGUGAAGAAGGCCCUAGGGUUGUAAAGCACUUUAAUCAGAGAAGAAGCAUUUUAAAUUAAUACCUUAAAAUGUUGACGUUACCUGAAGAAUAAGGACCGGCUAACUCCGUGCCAGCAGCCGCGGUAAUACGGAGGGUCCAAGCGUUAAUCGGAAUUACUGGGCGUAAAGCGCGCGUAGGCGGUUUAGCAAGUUGUAUGUGAAAGCCCUGGGC